GUGUUUUUCACAAUUUUAGCACAAGCUUUUAUUUUAUUAAUAAAAUGCACCAAUUAAUAGAAAUUACACAAUCAAAGCAUAUGACUGACUGGGGUUAUAGCAACGAAAAGGGACAUGAAGUGUCAGUAAAUGGAAGGGAAAAAAUUACAAAAUACUCCUCCAACUAAUGUUACUCAUCGAGUCAUGUUUUUCACUCCUCCAUUCUCCCUCAUCACUCGAAUACAACACAAAACGUGAGAGGUACUCCAAUCCCAGCUUCUCCUUGCCCUUCAGGUAGUCUAAUUCUUCCAUAAACCCAAAACCCCUCUUUCCCCCAAUUUUUAAUUUUUCUUUUAUUUUUUCCAAUUUUCAUCUUUUCAUUUUUCUCUGUACCAGAUGGCAGAGGCAAAUGGAAGAGGCGAAAGCGGGAGCCUCAAAUCACUCGAAAGCAACACCCCAAACUCGAAGACCCUGAUGAUGAAGACGAAGACGACGCCUUUGAGGAAGAUAACAACAAUAAUGACCACCUCGAUGACGAUUCUGAGGGCCCCAACCCCAACCCAAACCUUCCUCAAUCUGCUGCUCUUCCUGAUCCCAACCAUCUUGAAACUGAGGUCUUCGCUGACAGUGGGGUCCGCAUUUGUGACUUCCCUUCCGUCACUAAGCUUGCUGUGAAUCGGCCCCAUGAGUCGGUUUUCGCUGUGGUGACCUUAGAGAGGGCGAAUUUGAUUGGGGAGAGUAGUGGUAGUAGUAGGGGGCCGGUGCCCAAUUUGGAGAAUGUGUCGUACGGGCAGCUGCAGGCAGUCUCUGCUGUGCCUGCUGAGGGUUUGGGGUCCGAUCAGGAGAGAAAUGAUGGUGGGAAUUCUGCAUAUGUGGUAACGCCUCCUCCAAUUAUGGAGGGCAAAGGUGUUGUAAAACGAUUUGGAAAUAGAGUUCAUGUGGUUCCAAUGCAUUCAGAUUGGUUUUCACCAGCAAUGGUGAAUCGAUUAGAAAGACAAGUGGUACCGCAUUUUUUCUCUGGAAAAUCACCAGAUCAUACUCCAGAGAAAUACAUGGAAUGUAGGAAUUAUGUUGUUGCUAAAUAUAUGGAGAAUCCAGAGAAGAGGAUCACAGUUUCUGAUUGUCAGGGAUUGGUUGCUGGAAUUGAGAAUGAAGAUUUAGCUAGAACUGUUAGGUUUCUUGAUCAUUGGGGAAUUAUCAAUUACUGUGCAGCCCCACCAAGCUGUGAAUCCUGGAAUGGUGGGUCCUACUUAAGAGAGGAUCCAAAUGGUGAGGUUCACGUGCCAUCAGCUGCUUUAAAGUCAAUUGAUAGUUUGAUCAAAUUUGACAAGCCCAAAUGUAGGCUCAAGGCAGCUGACGUUUAUUCAUCAUUGUCAUGUCAUGAUGAUGAAUUCUCUGACUUGGACAACAAAAUUCGAGAGCGCCUUUCUGAAAAUCGUUGCACUUAUUGUUCUCAGCCUCUUCCUGGUGUAUACCAUCAGUCACAGAAGGAGAUUGAUGUACUACUAUGUUCUGACUGCUUCCAUGAAGGGAGGUUUGUGACCAAUCAUUCAAGCCUGGAUUUUAUAAAGAUGGAUCCAACAAAAGAUUAUGGUGAUUUAGAUGGAGAGAGUUGGAGUGAUCAAGAAACAUUAUUGCUGCUCGAGGCAAUGGAGGUUUACAAUGAAAAUUGGAAUGAAAUUGCAGAACAUGUUGGAACAAAGUCAAAAUCACAAUGCAUUCUUCAUUUUCUUCGUCUACCCAUGGAGGAUGGCCUGUUGGAAAAUAUCGAAGUACCAAGCAUGUCUAAGUCACCUAAUUUAUCAAGUAGAGAUGAUCAUGGAAGAAUACAUAUGCGAUCAAAUGGUGAUCUGCCAGGAUCCUGCCUCCAAGAUGCUGAUGCUGAAAGCAGAAUCCCUUUUGCAAAUUCUGGGAAUCCAGUGAUGUCCUUGGUUGCCUUUCUGGCUUCUGCUGUUGGACCAAGAGUUGCAGCAGCAUGUGCCCAUGCGUCCUUGGCAGCAUUGUCCGAGGAUAAUAGGUAAGUGAUUUCCUUCUUCCAGCAUAUACUUACUGCCUGUUUGUUGGACUCAGUGUUUCUAGCGAUUUUUUUUUAUGAUUAUGAUUUCCAGAUGUCUUUUCUUCCCUUCUGCCCCAGUGUUGGUAGCUUUGCUGAAUGCCUAAUUUAUCUUUGUUCAGUUUUUUGUCAUUGUCAUUUGUCAGCUACUCACCGUUAUGAUCACAUAUAUUUUCUGCUUUACAGGCCGAAAUAGUGCAGAAUGUAUCAGAAAAUCAUUGCUUUUAUAAGCAUUAUGUUUGCUUCUAUUCAAUCCUCUGUAUAUGAAUCUAUUAAUUUAUUUUCUUGCCUAUGAAGGGUGAAUUUGGAGAGAUUACAUGGUAGAGAAGGUAAUUUUCAUGGAGAAGUUGCAAAUUCAAAUCAACAAAAGGAAGACAACUUGCGUGGUUCAUUGGGUCCAAGUGAGGCAGAGGGUGUUCCUUUAUCUGCAGAAAAAGUCAAAGCUGCUGCUAAAGCUGGUCUUGCUGCUGCAGCAACUAAAGCUAAACUAUUUGCAGAUCAUGAAGAAAGAGAAAUUCAAAGGCUAUCUGCUAAUAUCAUUAAUCAUCAGUUGAAGAGAUUGGAGCUAAAGUUGAAGCAGUUUGCAGAGGUGGAAACUUUUCUAAUGAGAGAGUGUGAACAAGUGGAGAAGACCAGGCAAAGGUUUGCUGCUGAGCGGGCCCGCAUUCUAUCGUCCCGGAUUGGACCUGCUGGAGCUACUUCACAAAUGAACCUGGCAGGAGUUUCUCCUUCCAUGGUUAACAAUAACAUCGGCAGCAGUAGGCAACAAGUGAUGCCUACCUCUUCUUCACAGCCGACCGUUUCAGGAUAUGGCAACAAUCAACAGAUCCAUCCCCACAUGUCAUUUAUGCAACGGGGACAACCACAGCCAAUGUUUCCAUUAGGGCCAAGGCUGCCCCUAGCCGCUAUACAACCAUCCUCAUCUGCUCCAUCAAAUGUUAUGUUCAAUCCCCCUGGAAAUUCACAGCCCAGUCUCAAUCAAAUGCUGAGGUCUGUGUCGGGGCCUAGCUCUGGUUUAGGUUGAAGCAGAAGAAUAAAUGUAAAUCGGUGAUUUUAUGGUUAAUUAUGUUGGCUACUGGCGCACUUUCUCUGCAGCAACUGGGAUUGAGGAUCCAGGUUCGAGGAUGAUAUUAGUUUGGGCCAAGAAAGUUUCAUCUGCCCUGGCGUUUGGAGUUUUGAUCUGAAUAUAGAUUCCUUGGUGCAGUUUGUAGGACUUGUAACAGAAUACACCCUAGUGUUUGAAUUAAAUAUGUACUGUUGCGAUGGAUUAGGAAAAUUUAUUUUUCAAGUGAAUAAUCGCAGUAUAGAAUGUGUCACGAAAGGGGGAUAUAUUACUGGUAUGGUUCAGUUCUAGUAACUUUUUGCGUAUCCAUGUUGGACUACGUACCAGUCUACUCUCCGGAUGAAUCAUCAUGAAACUAGUCUAAAAUCCCACGCUCAAGUCAAAUGACAUCUGCAAAUCCCCAUCUGCUGCUGAGAAGUGGGAUGAGUGCAAAUGGAAGCUCAAAUGAAAGUAUCAUAUUAAAACCCAUAUUAGUAAAUCUUGAAAUGGGAUCACCACCGCUAAAUUAAUCGUGUUUUUUAGGAACUGCAUGAUAAAUUGGCCAGCAUAAGUGCCUGUGAUGGUGGAGCUUUUCC
rnacentral:misc_RNA from 1 species